ACUACUCAAAAUGUGAAGGUGCAAGCUUGUAGUCACCUAUUGUGUGUGAAGGUCAAUAUGAUUAUUAACUAUGUUGAAAUAUUGUUCAACUGCUAGUCUAUGUACAUUUUGCCUGUCUAUAUUCUUUGCAGGGUACUCCAUCUUAUGCACAAUUUAUGUAUGGGGAUGCUGACUCCAAGUUGGCGCCAUCAGUAAAAGGAGUUGCAGCCACUGCUCAUACAACAUGUUACUAUGUUACCUUUUAAAUCUCCCCCCACAGAACUGAUAGUUGUAGUUACAUUUGCUAAAAUCUGAAGCAUGUGGCCUUUUGGAAUAUACAUCUUUUUUUUGUUCCUAUUUUUUAUUUGUUGGAGGACAACAUGUAUGUACUCAUAUUUUUGGUUCAUAUUUUUUUAUGUAUUAAUCG
rnacentral:lncRNA from 1 species